GCACUUCGGUGUGAGUACAGUGGCGCACGGGUGAGUAACGCGUAGAUGACGUGCCGUAUAGUGGGGGACAACAUCGUGAAAACGGUGCUAAUACCGCAUAUGAUAGAUGACAUUGAAAAAAUCUAAGAAAGGGGGCUUCGGCUCUCGCUAUAUGAUCGGUCUGCGUGACAUUAGCUUGAUGGUGGGGUAAUGGCCUACCAUGGCGACGAUGUCUAACUGGUCUGAGAGGAUGAUCAGUCACACUGGAACUGAGACACGGUCCAGACUCCUACGGGAGGCAGCAGUAGGGAAUAUUGCACAAUGGGGGAAACCCUGAUGCAGCAAUGCCACGUGAGUGAGGAAGGUUUUCGGAUUGUAAAGCUCUGUCCUAUAGGAAGAACGGUAUUAUGGUUAAUACCCAUAGUAUUUGACGGUACUAUAGAAGAAAGCACCGGCUAACUCCGUGCCGGCAGCCGCGGUAAUACGGAGGGUGCAAGCGUUGUUCGGAUUUACUGGGCGUAAAGCGCGCGCAGGCGGAUUAGCAAGUCAGAUGUGAAAUCCCGGGGCUCAACCUCGGAACUGCGUCUGAAACUGUUAGUCUAGAAUCUCAGAGGGGGCAGGGGAAUUUCAUGUGUAGGGGUAAAAUCCGUAGAGACGUGAAGGAACACCGGUGGCGAAGGCGCCUGCCUGGAUGAGUAUUGACGCUGAGGCGCGAAAGCGUGGGGAGCAAACAGGAUUAGGUACCCUGGUAGUCCACGCCGUAAACGAUGAGUACUAGCCUUUGGAGGUAUUGACCCCUUCAGGAGCAAAGCUAACGCAUUAAGUACUCCGCCUGGGAAGUACGGUCGCAAGACUAAAACUCAAAGGAAUUGACGGGGGCCCGCACAAGCGGUGGAUUAUGUGGUUUAAUUCGAAACCACGCGCAGAACCUUACCUAGGCUUGAAAUCCUCAGAAUUUGACGUAAUUGUCGAAGUGCCCGCAAGGGAAUUGAGUGACAGGUGCUGCAUGGCUGUCGUCAGCUCGUGUUGUGAAAUGUUGGGUUAAGUCUCGCAACGAGCGCAACCCCUAUCUUUAGUUGCCAGCAUUAAGUUGGGCACUCUAGAGAGACUGCCCGGGUUAACCGGGAGGAAGGUGGGGAUGACGUCAAGUCCUCAUGGCCCUUAUGCCUAGGGCUACACACGUAAUACAAUGGUACAUACAGAGGGAAGCGACCCGGCGACGGUUAGCAAAUCUCAAAAAGUGUAUCUCAGUCCGGAUUGGAGUCUGCAACUCGACUCCAUGAAGUUGGAAUCGCUAGUAAUCGGAGAUCAGCACGCUCCGGUGAAUACGUUCCCGGGCCUUGUACACACCGCCCGUCACACCAUGGGAGUUGUUUUCAUUUUAAGACGUGACUCUAACUUCGGAGGAGAGCGUCUACAGUGGGAGCGAUGACUGGGGUGAAGUCGUAACAAGGUA
rnacentral:rRNA from 1 species